rfam:Gossypium hirsutum cultivar TM-1 chromosome 24, whole genome shotgun sequence
AACCCAUAAUGAAGGCACCUUCUUAAUAGAUCCUUGUAUCUCUCUCAUGCAUCAUAUAAUGUCACUAAAUUAAUCUGGGCAAAGGAUGAAAUGUCAUUCCUCAACUU